UACGUAGGGACCAAGCGUUGCUCGGAUUUACUGGGCGUAAAGGGCGCGUAGGCGGCGUGUCAAGUCAAUUGUGAAAUCUCCGAGCUUAACUCGGAACGGUCAAUUGAUACUGAUGUGCUAGAGUGCAGAAGGGGCAAUCGGAAUUCUUGGUGUAGCGGUGAAAUGCGUAGAUAUCAAGAGGAACACCUGAGGUGAAGACGGGUUGCUGGGCUGACACUGACGCUGAGGCGCGAAAGCUAGGGUAGCAAACGGG
rnacentral:rRNA from 1 species